rnacentral:sRNA from 1 species
AGGUAGCCCCGAUGGCAACGGCAUCCUUUUUUUUUGCGCGAGCGAGGCGAGCGCGUAAAAAGAUAAAGUGAACAGCGGGACAAAUU